GCUUACGGCCUCGCAUGCGUCGACAAGUGGGCUGCCUGCAGCUUUCAAAGAGCUCCUAAACAAAGAAACAAACAAGAAAAGCAAGUGUCUUAGUCGUCUUUCNNNNNNNNUAUUUCUGUUGUAGUUGCAGGAGCUUCUGUAUGUGGUCCAUUGGCAUUUUCGCCUGCCUACUUACUUUAAUUCUCUUGCUUUCUUUAAAUUCUCUACCCAUUUCAAAAUAGCAUAUUUUCAUUUCUCAAAAACACAAGAAUAUAUUCUUUGGCAUUUUUCAAAUUCAACAACCAGCGCACACCAUUCAUUCUUUGCUCCACUACAAAGAAAUCAGUUUCCUAUUCCCUUUAAUCUUCUCCUUGUUUUUCGAAAAGCAUGCUGGUAUUUAUAACAACUCUAUUAAGGACUUGUAGUGCUGCUGGAGGCUGUUUGCUUGUUUAAUUCUGAAGGUUGAGAAAAAAA
rnacentral:misc_RNA from 1 species